rnacentral:rRNA from 1 species
GUAGGGAAUAUUGCACAAUGGGGGAAACCCUGAUGCAGCGACGCCGCGUGAGUGAUGAAGGCCUUCGGGUCGUAAAGCUCUGUCGUAUGGGACUAACACAAUGAAGGUACCAUGCAAGAAAGGAUCGGCUAACUUCGUGCCAGCAGCCGCGGUAAGACGAGGGAUCCUAGCGUUGUUCGGAAUCAUUGGGCGUAAAGCGGGUGUAGGCGGAUUUAUAAGUCAGGUGUGAAAUCCCAGGGCUCAACCCUGGAAGUGCACUUGAUACUGUAAAGCUUGAGUGUGGUAGAGGUUACUGGAAUUGUUGGUGUAGUGGUGAAAUACGUAGAUAUCAACAGGAAUACCGGAGGCGAAGGCGAGUAACUGGGCCAACACUGACGCUGAGACCCGAAAGCGUGGGGAUCAAACAGGAUUAGAAACCCCUGUAGUCC